GCCAGUACCUGGCUUUGUUGUCUUUAGACCGCACUCAAAGGAGCAUUUAAGGAUCCACAAGACCAAGGGAACCAUCUUUGUCAUCAAGGUGACUGUGCAAGACCAAGCCUUCCACAAUACUGUGAAGGACAGCCGGUUUUUCACCUGUUUACUGCUAUCAAGGAAUGGUAAAUAAGACAAACAACUGUUCCCAUGGCUGUUUAUUGAGUGAAAUCCAGUUAAAAGCUUCAUGUGGAGGGAUUGUCCUUUUCAAGUGGGGAAUUGCACAAGGAAUAGAUCAGAACUUGACAAGAAUGAUUAAAUUCUGGGAUGAAAAACAGAAGCAAAAAAUUCUGAAAAUAAAAACACUGGCAGGAGGAAGGACAGCAUGCGCAGAAGUACCUGGAUGAUAUUAAAGGAAGUCUGAGUGGAGGCACAGUCAUCUCUGCUAGAAGCAUGCAGAUUUGGAAAGACAAGAAAAGAUGUGAAAGCAUGAGCGUAACGAUUCAGUUUGAAGGCAGUACUCUGCCGAUUAGAGUGAAGCUAGGAUUUGUAAGCUUCUUGGUAUGAGAGUUCAUACCUUGACCUUUGAGAUGUUUCGAAAUGUCAAUAUAUGGGACCUACUGCAAAUCUUUGUAAAGGGGAAUGCAGUGUGCAAAAUGUGGGGGAGAACAUGAAUAUGGCAAAUCUGUAAAUGCAGAGGAGGACCUACAACAAGAAGCUUGUGAAGUUCAAAAAAUAAAAACAGCGCAAAAUUUUACAUAAGUAGAAGCUACCCGUAAGGUAAAAGGAAUAGUUGAAACAAGGAGAACUGAUGUGCAAGGAUUCAGGGCGAAAUCCUAUACACAGAAAGGAUUCAAUCCUGAGAGGAAUGAAUCAGAUCUACAUAUUAUGAUGAAUAAAACUGACUUUGUGGCAUUCA